rnacentral:rRNA from 1 species
CUAGCCGUAAACGAUGGAUACUAGGUGUUAGAGGUAUCGACCCCUCUAGUGCCGAAGCUAACGCAUUAAGUAUCCCGCCUGGGGAGUACGGCCGCAAGGCUGAAACUCAAAGGAAUUGACGGGGGCCCGCACAAGCGGUGGAGCAUGUGGUUUAAUACGUCAUUAACCGUAGAACCUUACCUAGGCUUGACAUCCGUUGAAAGUGCCUGAAAGGGUAACCCUUCUGUAGUAAUACAGAACUGCGAGACAGGUGU